CCUACGGGUGGCUGCAGUGGGGAAUAUUGCACAAUGGGGGAAACCCUGAUGCAGCGACGCCGCGUGAGUGAAGAAGUAUUUCGGUAUGUAAAGCUCUAUCAGCAGGGAAGAAAUUAAGUCCUUCUGACUUUUGACGGUACCUUACUAACAAGCCCCGCCUAACUAUGUACCAGCAGCCGCGGUAAUACGUAGGUAGCAAGCGUUGUCCGGAUUUACUGGGCGUAAAGGGCGCGUAGGUGGGCGCUGAAGUCUGGUGUGAAACCUCCGGGCUCAACCUGGAGACUGCACUUGAAACUGGGUGUCUUGAGUGCAGGAGAGGAAAGUGGAACUCCUAGUGUAGCGGUGAAAUGCGUAGAUAUUAGGAGGAACACCAGUGGCGAAGGCGACUUUCUGGACUGUACCUGACGCUGAGGCGCGAAAGCGUGGGUAGCGAACGGGAUUAGAUACCCCAGUAGUC
rnacentral:rRNA from 1 species